AUUUAAACCAAAAUGAGAGCAAACAGCUUCAGCAGCAGAGCACUCAUCCUUUUAGCUCUCUGGAUAGGAUGCUGGUCAGUUCUGGUCAGUGCACAGUGCAGUUCAACUCAAUCUAAUGGAACAGCGACAUGCAGUCCAGACUCCAGUACCCUAGCUGCCACUCUUAACACUACAACCAGCAAUGUCGACAAAAGCACUAU